rnacentral:tRNA from 1 species
AUUUAAGUAGUUUAAUUAAAAUUUUGAUUUGUGGAUUCAAUGAUGUAUUCUCUACCUUAAAUA